rnacentral:lncRNA from 1 species
AGAACUGCACUCUGGCACCACCUCAAUCAACAGAGGUUCAGUGCUUCCCUGCCAAAGAGGAUGCAAUGUUUACAACAGCAAAGGUGCAUAAGGAUUACCAGAAGCUCUUUGGAGUGACAACACAACACAGGAAUUCUGCUGAGGUGGAACCAGACUGACACUCUUUGCUGCCUGAGGCAAAGAACAAGUAGCUCUUUCUCAUCUAUGUAUAUAAGUUGACCAGACUGACAGAUGGAUUUUACUUCAACUCUGAUCAUCCAGAUCUGUUUCCUAGCAUUUUACUGCUGCUUCUCAGCUGCAGCAUUUGUUGCCUGAAGUGCCUACCUCACUCUCUCUAAGCAUUGGCCUUGA